AAUAGAUACCCCGGUAGUCCACGCCGUAAACGAUGGAUACUAGCUGUUGGGGGGACGACCUUCAGUGGUCUAAGCGAAAGUGAUAAGUAUCCCUAACCUGGGGAGUACUGUUCGGCAAGAAUGAAACUCAAAGGAAUUAGGACGGGGGUCCCGCGACCAAGCGGUAGGAGCGAUGUGGUUUUAAUUCGUAUGAUACGCGAGGAACCUUACCAAGGUCUUAAAUGCUAGACUGACCGUUUUGGAAACAGAACGUUUCGCAAGGACAGUUCUACAAGGUGCUGCAUGGUUGUCGUCAGCUCGGUGCCGUGAGGUGUCAGGGUUUAAGUCCUAUAACGGAGCGUCGUAACCCCUGGUUGUUAGUUGCCCAGCCGAGUUAGUCGUCGGGAACUCUAACAGACUUGCCUAGGUGCAAACUGUGGAGAAGGUGGGGAUGGACUCAAAUCAAUCGAGGCCCUUAGGCCUUAGGGGNCCUAACACGUCGUACGUACCUAA
rnacentral:rRNA from 1 species